rnacentral:rRNA from 1 species
CCACAUUGGGACUGAGACACGGCCCAGACUCCUACGGGAGGCAGCAGUGGGGAAUAUUGCACAAUGGGGGAAACCCUGAUGCAGCGACGCCGCGUGGAGGAAGAAGGUCUUCGGAUUGUAAACUCCUGUUGUUGAGGAAGAUAAUGACGGUACUCAACAAGGAAGUGACGGCUAACUACGUGCCAGCAGCCGCGGUAAAACGUAGGUCACAAGCGUUGUCCGGAAUUACUGGGUGUAAAGGGAGCGCAGGCGGGAGAACAAGUUGGAAGUGAAAUCCAUGGGCUCAACCCAUGAACUGCUUUCAAAACUGUUUUUCUUGAGUAGUGCAGAGGUAGGCGGAAUUCCCGGUGUAGCGGUGGAAUGCGUAGAUAUCGGGAGGAACACCAGUGGCGAAGGCGGCCUACUGGGCACCAACUGACGCUGAGGCUCGAAAGUGUGGGUAGCAAACAGGAUUAGAUACCCUGGUAGUCCACACCGUAAACGAUGAUUACUAGGUGUUGGAGGAUUGACCCCUUCAGUGCCGCAGUUAACACAAUAAGUAAUCCACCUGGGGAGUACGACCGCAAGGUUGAAACUCAAAGGAAUUGACGGGGGCCCGCACAAGCAGUGGAGUAUGUGGUUUAAUUCGACGCAACGCGAAGAACCUUACCAAGUCUUGACAUCCCUUGACGAACAUAGAAAUAUGUUUUCUCUUCGGAGCAAGGAGACAGGUGGUGCAUGGUUGUCGUCAGCUCGUGUCGUGAGAUGUUGGGUUAAGUCCCGCAACGAGCGCAACCCUUAUGGUCAGUUACUACGCAAGAGGACUCUGGCCAGACUGCCGUUGACAAAACGGAGGAAGGUGGGGAUGACGUCAAAUCAUCAUGCCCUUUAUGACUUGGGCUACACACGUACUACAAUGGCGUUAAACAAAGAGAAGCAAGACCGCGAGGUGGAGCAAAACUCAGAAACAACGUCCCAGUUCGGACUGCAGGCUGCAACUCGCCUGCACGAAGUCGGAAUUGCUAGUAAUCGUGGAUCAGCAUGCCACGGUGAAUACGUUCCCGGGCCUUGUACACACCGCCCGUCACACCAUGAGAGCCGGGGGGACCCGAAGUCGGUAGUCUAACCGCAAGGAGGACGCCGCCGAAGGUAAAACUGGUGAUUGGGGUGAAGUCGUAACAAGGUAGCCGUAGGAGAACCUGCGGCUG